GAUGAACGCUGGCGGCGUGCCUAAUACUUGCAAGUCGAGCGAACGGACGAGAAGCUUGCUUUUCUGAUGUUAGCGGCGGACGGGUGAGUAACACGUGGAUAACCUACCUAUAAGACUGGGAUAACUUCGGGAAACCGGAGCUAAUACCGGAUAAUAUUUUGAACCGCAUGGUUCAAAAGUGAAAGACGGUCUUGCUGUCACUUAUAGAUGGAUCCGCGCUGCAUUAGCUAGUUGGUAAGGUAACGGCUUACCAAGGCAACGAUGCAUAGCCGACCUGAGAGGGUGAUCGGCCACACUGGAACUGAGACACGGUCCAGACUCCUACGAGAGGCAGCAGUAGGGAAUCUUCCGCAAUGGGCGAAAGCCUGACGGAGCAACGCCGCGUGAGUGAUGAAGGUCUUCGGAUCGUAAAACUCUGUUAUUAGGGAAGAACAUAUGUGUAAGUAACUGUGCACAUCUUGACGGUACCUAAUCAGAAAGCCACGGCUAACUACGUG
rnacentral:rRNA from 1 species